rnacentral:misc_RNA from 1 species
UCGCUUUCAUCACACACACACACGUGUGUGUACGCACAGACAGUCACAGUCGAAUAUAUCGUGCACGCCUCCCUUUUUUUUUUUUCGUGGCUUCAGCGCAAUGAUGUGCCUCAUGUGCGGCCGCGCAGCCACGCGCUGCACACGGCGUCACCUCCUAUUCCGACUGCCGAGGAUGCCUUCCGCCCUGCGGUGCCACAGCACCACGGCUGCUGAUGCUUCAGCGAAGGCAAAACUGACCUCUCCCGGUGCUCCUCUCACCCACGUCCUCAAGCCCAUCCCCACAUCCGGCGCAGCCUCGUCAUUUUCCGUGACGCCCUCGGCCGUUGUUCUUCACACAUCUUACGCUUCGCUUUCAGCCGCCGACGAGGUGGGGCACGACGAGAGCCGCAGCCGUGGCGCGGACGCAGGUGAUGGGUCUACUAGGACUGCCCACCUCACGGCAACGCCGUCGUACGCCGUGACGAACGUUGCUGCGUUCGAGCAGCUCAUUGCGGAGGCGCUGCGCCUGUCUGAGGUAACGCUGGAGGCGGCCGCGACAGUAGGCGCACCACCGGCGCCUUCACCAUCUUCUCCGGUGUUGGCGACGUCGGCUUCUCGGGGAAGUGCUCGCGAGGCCCCCAUCACGCUCAUUGCGGAUCACACGGUUCGCGAACUGCAAGUCCUCCUCGCCGAGGCCGAGCGCACCCUCGCCCCCUUCACGGCACGCAAGGCGAGGAUCGACAAGUUCGUCUAUGGUGUGUAUCUGCCGCUGCUCAAGUACGGCACCUUCGCGUUUUUCGCCGCGCAGCUCGUCGUGUACUUCAACUGGAUCUUCUUUGUGUUUGACUGGAACUUGGUGGAGCCAACCACGUACUUCCUCGCCUACACGGGCAUCUUCUGCAGUUUGGUGUACCACUACUACCACUGCAGCGGAGAUGGGUCUACCUGGAAGGACAUGUUUCAGCAUCUCGCCCGUCGCAAGGCGGAGAAGAAGUACGCGCAAGUGCAGCUGGACGUGGUUGGCAUGGCGCAGCUGCAGCGACGCAUCACCUUGAUCAAAAAGGAGCUGGCCCGCAUGUCUGUCUAGGCGAAGAGCCAAAGACAGCGGCAGCGGCUCUGCACAGAGACGGAGCGAGAGGGCAGACACGCACGCACACACAUGAGGCGUGGGGUACGAGGAGGAAAGCGGCGGUGCCGUCGCUCGCACGUGGCACUUCCUCUUCCGUUUUUUUUUUGUACAUGCCUACUAGUGACGCACUGGCACGCGCAAUCCGCUGCCUUUUGUGCUCUUGUCUCCCUGGCGUGCCUUCCGGCAGAUGUUCAGGUGCGUGUGCGCGUGUGUGUGUGGCUGCACGUCCUGCUGCUGCUGUUGUGGAGUUUCCUGCGCUCUGUGAGUAUGUAAUGCAGCGUUGCACCUCUCCCUCAUCACCUGGCCUCCUCCACCUCCACAUACCACCAGCUGAACACGCACAGCUGCAGUGUCUUCCAUGUCCGCGCUUCCGCGCGUGAUGGCGCGCGCUCCACGGUGACGUGCUCUUUGCCGUCGUUCUAAGUGCGAGCGGGGCAGGUCGUGAAAAGGGGGAGGGGAGGGGAGGGGAGGGGAGGGAGACGGUGCGAAGUUAGGUUGAGUGUGUAUGUGUGCCAGAG